GGGCGUGGUCUCAAGACACAGUCAGCUGUUGGGGAUCAGAGGCCACACUCAUCGUAGCAGAGAGGCAGGACCAGCUGGGAGAGGGUCCUUCUGUGACACCUACUGCAUCACCGGGCUCUGUGUAGUGACUCAGCUGCCAGAACUCACACAAUAUCAUUCUGCACCAAAACCUCAAGGGAAAAAUGCAUCACAAAACUCAGACUUAAACAGCACAACAGGCUCCUCCCGGGUCUCCAGCUACACAACCCUCAGACUUAAACAACAGCAGCACCAGCUCCUCCCUGGGUCUCCAGCUCCACAACCCUCAAAUUAGAACUGCAGCACUGGCUCCACCCAGUCUCCAGCUCCACACCUCAAACUUGAACUACAGCACCAGCUCCUCCCUGGGUCUCCGGCUCCACGGACCUUAAACUAAAACAGCAGCACUGGCUCCUCCCCAGGUCCCCAGCUACAGACCCUCAAACUAGAACAGCAGCACCAGCUCCACCUAAAGUCUCCAGCUCCACACCUCAAACUAGAACUUCAGCACCCGCUCCUCCCCGAGUCUCAAUAUCCACGAUCCUCAAAAUAAAACAGCAGCACGGGCUCCUCCCCUGGUCUUCAGCUUCACGACCUUAACUAUAACAGCACCACCCGCUCCU
rnacentral:lncRNA from 1 species